GAUGAACGCUGGCGGCGUGCCUAAUACAUGCAAGUCGAGCGAACGGACGAGAAGCUUGCUUCUCUGAUGUUAGCGGCGGACGGGUGAGUAACACGUGGAUAACCUACCUAUAAGACUGGGAUAACUUCGGGAAACCGGAGCUAAUACCGGAUAAUAUUUUGAACUGCAUGGUUCAAAAGUGAAAGACGGUCUUGCUGUCACUUAUAGAUGGAUCCGCGCUGCAUUAGCUAGUUGGUAAGGUAACGGCUUACCAAGGCAAGGAUGCCUAGCCGACCUGAGAGAGUGGUCGGCCACACUGGAACUGAGACACGCUCCAGACUACUACGGGAGGCAGCAGUAGCGAAUCGUCCGCAAUGGGCGAGAGCAUGACGGAGCAACGCCGCGUGAGUGAUGAAGGUCUUCGGAUCGUGAAACUCUGUUAUUAGGGAAGAACAUAUGUGUAAGUAACUGUGCACAUCUUGACGGUACCUAAUCAGAAAGCCACGGCUAACUACGUG
rnacentral:rRNA from 1 species